rnacentral:rRNA from 1 species
AGCGAACGCUGGCGGCAGGCCUAACACAUGCAAGUCGAACGAACCUUUCGGGGUUAGUGGCGGACGGGUGAGUAACACGUGGGAACGUGCCUUUAGGUUCGGAAUAACUCAGGGAAACUUGUGCUAAUACCGAAUGUGCCCUUCGGGGGAAAGAUUUAUCGCCUUUAGAGCGGCCCGCGUCUGAUUAGCUAGUUGGUUGAGGUAAUGGCUCACCAAGGCGACGAUCAGUAGCUGGUCUGAGAGGAUGAUCAGCCACAUUGGGACUGAGACACGGCCCAAACUCCUACGGGAGGCAGCAGUGGGGAAUCUUGCGCAAUGGGCGAAAGCCUGACGCAGCCAUGCCGCGUGAAUGAUGAAGGUCUUAGGAUGGUAAAAUUCUUUCACCGGGGACGAUAAUGACGGUACCCGGAGAAGAAGCCCCGGCGAACUUCGU